CGGCGGACGGGUGAGUAACACGUGGGUAACCUGCCUGUAAGACUGGGAUAACUCCGGGAAACCGGGGCUAAUACCGGAUGGUUGUUUGAACCGCAUGGUUCAAACAUAAAAGGUGGCUUCGGCUACCACUUACAGAUGGACCCGCGGCGCAUUAGCUAGUUGGUGAGGUAACGGCUCACCAAGGCAACGAUGCGUAGCCGACCUGAGAGGGUGAUCGGCCACACUGGGACUGAGACACGGCCCAGACUCCUACGGGAGGCAGCAGUAGGGAAUCUUCCGCAAUGGACGAAAGUCUGACGGAGCAACGCCGCGUGAGUGAUGAAGGUUUUCGGAUCGUAAAGCUCUGUUGUUAGGGAAGAACAAGUACCGUUCGAAUAGGGCGGUACCUUGACGGUACCUAACCAGAAAGCCACGGCUAACUACGUGCCAGCAGCCGCGGUAAUACGUAGGUGGCAAGCGUUGUCCGGAAUUAUUGGGCGUAAAGGGCUCGCAGGCGGUUUCUUAAGUCUGAUGUGAAAGCCCCCGGCUCAACCGGGGAGGGUCAUUGGAAACUGGGGAACUUGAGUGCAGAAGAGGAGAGUGGAAUUCCACGUGUAGCGGUGAAAUGCGUAGAGAUGUGGAGGAACACCAGUGGCGAAGGCGACUCUCUGGUCUGUAACUGACGCUGAGGAGCGAAAGCGUGGGGAGCGAACAGGAUUAGAUACCCUGGUAGUCCACGCCGUAAACGAUGAGUGCUAAGUGUUAGGGGGUUUCCGCCCCUUAGUGCUGCAGCUAACGCAUUAAGCACUCCGCCUGGGGAGUACGGUCGCAAGACUGAAACUCAAAGGAAUUGACGGGGGCCCGCACAAGCGGUGG
rnacentral:rRNA from 2 species